rnacentral:tRNA from 1 species
GAGAGAUGGCUGAGUGGUCGAAAGCGGCAGAUUGCUAAUCUGUUGUAUCUAUUAUCGAUACCGAGGGUUCGAAUCCCUUUCUCUCC